GAGAGCAGGAAAAACAUUUUUAGAACUUCUGAUUUGUUUUGUUGAUUUGCUACUCAUAUUUUGGCAUUGUUGAUAACAUUUAAUCAUGCACCACUUUUGGUUCUGUAGCUAAUGGAGGCAAAAUAAAAAGCCGGAAGGCCCUAAAGCCACAAACACCUCAAUAUGAUUUGCAAAGUGAAACAUCAGAAGAUGAAAUUAUAACCUGCCCCCCCCAAAAAAGAAAUUUGUCUCUACCAAGGGCUCCACAAUUUGCUCCAUCGAGUACCAGCACCCUGGACUUCCAAACAACAAACAAGGCGGAAGCAGCACCCAGGGUCAACCCUCCUCAACCUCUAAGGUCAUCAAGUUGCUUGAAGCCACUGAGCGAAGGAUAAUGCUGAAACUUGAAGCUAUGCAAGUCAGCAAUUCAAUAAGGAGGGUGGUCGUCUUGCUAGAGGCAAAACAUAGCCAACUUACCGAAGACAUUGAUGACAUGCUGCAGGAGGAGUUCAGACUCCUCUUUUAAAAAGAGAAUGAUUCAAUACCUCAAUCUGCAAGCUGGAUGGACCCUGGGAGAUGGUGUGAGGAGGAUGCUCCGGAAAAUUGGGAGCAACUCACUCUGGAGUCAAGUGCAUGCCACAAGGCCUAUCCAAAAUCUAAGAGCCGGUAUGUGGAAGAUUCCAUUGCUGUCACGCUGAAGCAUGCCCCCCACCAUGGGACUGCACAUGAACAGCUCUCGGUGUGCAGCGGUCUCUGUGAGCAUCUCCCUCUUAUUUUCUCAUAGCAGUCAGCCUUGGCAGCGGCUGCAGCUACAGCAG